GGAACAUUCCAUCUUUCACCGAAUGAAAAUAUUCUUACCAUUGCACGAAGAAACAUUCAUUAUUUGUUUUAUAUAAUACCAAAACAGACUAAUAGAUUCGUAUGAGAAGCAUUUUGAGGGAUGCGAUUUAUCGAAAACACAAAGAGUUAUUGUACUAUACGUUUUAUUCCAUUACACUCGCGGAGAGUGCAAUGGAACGUGUUCCAUUGCACUCUUGGGAAAUGGAAUUUUCUAUUCAAUAUCACGUGACCAUAAACAGCCAAUUAAA
rnacentral:lncRNA from 1 species